rnacentral:rRNA from 1 species
UACGUAGGGUGCGAGCGUCGUCCGGAAUUAUUGGGCGUAAAGAGCUCGUAGGCGGUCUGUCGCGUCGGAUGUGAAAGCCCGGGGCUCAACCCCGGGUCUGCAUUCGAUACGGGCAGACUGGAGUGUGGCAGGGGAGAUCGGAAUUCCUGGUGUAGCGGUGAAAUGCGCAGAUAUCAGGAGGAACACCGGUGGCGAAGGCGGAUCUCUGGGCCAUGACUGACGCUGAGGAGCGAAAGCGUGGGGAGCAAACAGG